AUUGAACGCUGGCGGCAGGCCUAACACAUGCAAGUCGAGCGGAAACGAUCCUAGCUUGCUAGGAGGCGUCGAGCGGCGGACGGGUGAGUAACGCGUGAGAAUCUACCCAUGAUGGGGGACAACCCGGGGAAACUCGGGCUAAUACCGCAUACGCCCUACGGGGUAAAGCAGGGGACUUUCGGGCCUUGCGCUGAUGGAUGAGCUCGCGUCGGAUUAGCUUGUUGGUGAGGUAAAGGCUCACCAAGGCGACGAUCCGUAGCUGGUCUGAGAGGAUGAUCAGCCACACCGGGACUGAGACACGGCCCGGACUCCUACGGGAGGGCAGCAGUGGGGAAUCUUGGACAAUGGGGGCAACCCUGAUCCAGCCAUGCCGCGUGUGUGAAGAAGGCCUUCGGGUUGUAAAGCACUUUCAGCAGGGAGGAAGGCUUACCCCUAAUACGGGUGAGUACUUGACGUUACCUGCAGAAGAAGCACCGGCUAAUUUCGUG
rnacentral:rRNA from 1 species